GACGAACGCUGGCGGCGUGCUUAACACAUGCAAGUCGAACGAUGAACCCGGAGCUUGCUCUGGGGGAUUAGUGGCGAACGGGUGAGUAACACGUGAGUAACCUGCCCUGGACUCUGGGAUAAGCGUUGGAAACGACGUCUAAUACCGGAUAGGACCUUGGAUCGCAUGAUCUGGGGUGGAAAGUUUUUUCGGUCUGGGAUGGACUCGCGGCCUAUCAGCUUGUUGGUGAGGUAAUGGCUCACCAAGGCGUCGACGGGUAGCCGGCCUGAGAGGGUGAACGGCCACACUUGGACUUGGGCACGGGCCAGGCUCCCUCCGGGGGGCGGCAGUGGGAAUAUUGCACAAUGGGCGAAAGCCUGAUGCAGCAACGCCGCGUGCGGGAUGACGGCCUUCGGGUUGUAAACCGCUUUUAGUAGGGAAGAAGGGCUUCGGCUUGACGGUACCUGCAGAAAAAGGACCGGCUAACUACGUG
rnacentral:rRNA from 1 species